rnacentral:misc_RNA from 1 species
UACAAAUCUCUACCUAUUUAGGGAUAUAAAUCCUACACAAAAUAGGAGUACAAUAUUAACAGGUUGACUUCUCAUAACACAUGUAACCAAUCAAAUCAAUUUAGAAUGAAAUUUUACUUGUGAUAAGAUUAGUUGAAAAAUAUGAGAUACCAAAUUUUCUCAUGCACAAGAAGAAUUUAAUAUUCUUGUGCUUAACAUCAAAACAAAGAAUCUUGCUUACGCUAGUAUGAACCAACAAGGACACUUGACUCAUUAUGCAAGCAUGAAUAUUCAAAUAAACCUUGAAGGGGAAAGAAGAAAAGCAAAGGAGGCAGACAAUGCUACAUCAACUUAGAUAAAGACAAAAUUACAGCAACAAACAAUUUAUUACAAACAAUUAAAAUGUUGGGUCUGAUGAGCAAAAGGGACAACCAUGCUACAAACAUUCAUUUACAACACAACCUAACAAACCAGAG